GGUGGCUCAGUGGUAGAGUGUUUGCCUCGCAUGCAUAAGGCCCUGGGUUUGAUUCCUCAGCACCA
rnacentral:tRNA from 1 species